AUCUAUGUUAACUUUCAGAUGUAUACCAGUGGUAUCUAUUCAGACCCCAGUUGUAGUUCCACACAGUUAGACCAUGCAGUACAAAUUGUUGGUUAUGGGACUGAAGCUGGUGUUGAUUACUGGACUGUCAAAAACUCCUGGGGUCCAAGCUGGGGAGAACAAGGCUAUAUGAGAAUAGUCCGUGGCAAAAAUAUGUGCGGCAUUGCCAGCAUGGCAUUCUAUCCUCUUAAUAAAUAAAUGUUUUCCAUGAGUCUGAUUUCAUGGGUCUUUUU
rnacentral:sRNA from 1 species